GUGCCAGCCGCCGCGGUAAUACGGAGGGUGCAAGCGUUAUCCGGAUUCACUGGGUUUAAAGGGUGUGUAGGCGGGUAUUUAAGUCAGUGGUGAAAUCUCCGAGCUCAACUCGGAAACUGCCAUUGAUACUAUUUAUCUUGAAUAUUGUUGAGGUAGGCGGAAUAUGUCAUGUAGCGGUGAAAUGCUUAGAUAUGACAUAGAACACCGAUUGCGAAGGCAGCUUGCUAAACAAUUAUUGACGCUGAGGCACGAAAGCGUGGGGAUCAAACAGGAUUAGAUACCCUGGUAGUCCACGCCCUAAACGAUGAUUACUGGACAUUUGCGAUAUACAGUGAGUGUCUGAGCGAAAGCAUUAAGUAAUCCACCUGGGAAGUACGUCCGCAAGGAUGAAACUUAAAUAAAUUGACGG
rnacentral:rRNA from 1 species